UCUUCCCCUCGCGCCGCCAGGAGGCAGAGCGCCUGCCUCGCUCGACCCCUCCUCUCGCUCGUACCCCUCGUUCCCCAUCUCCAUCUCUCCCUCUCGAUCUCGCGCGCCUCCCUCUGCAGCGCUAGUCCCCGACCGCGCCUCCUCCAGCCACCUUCCAUGGCGCCGUUCCCCGCUUCUACCAUCCUCCACGCUCAGCAGGAAGACCGCGCCGCCUGUCCCCUUCAUUCAGGUCGGAGCUCGCCAGGGCCCCCAGCACCGGUCGCCUUGCCGCCUCGAGCACCCGCGCCCGCCGCGCGCAAGGCCACCGGACCAGCUCAUCGGAGCUCUCAACGCCGGAGACCAUCUCAUGGCCGCCGAACCCCUGCCUCGACUCGGUUCUCACCGGGGACGCCGUCAAACGGCCGGAUCAACACCUCCCUCUGUGUCCUGCAUCCCGGAGCCAGCCGCCUCAAGCCCUCGUUCGCGUCUGCGCCAAGUCCAGUGAGGGAUCGCCAUACAGUUGACCGCAGCGACCUCCCCUGCUCCUUUUAGUGGACCACGAGGCGUGCCCCUCGCAACAUUGACCUUUGCACCCACCACGGCCUCCCCUCCUUGCGUGGGUUGCGGCCCUCUCCAUGGCCAAGACCAGGACCCCGUGAACGUGAAGUUCCUCCACGACGCCCGAACGACUACAUGACGACCCUGGACAUGGGAUUGCAAAACACCAAGUACAUGGAUAUGCCAAGUUCCUCUCUGAAACGGGUACGAAUACGCCCGGCGAUGCGACAAAUACCUCUACCGCCGACCCAGAACAUCUACGAAAACGUGUACCACUACCGUCGUUGUGUACCACUACUUUCCUCAAUGGCUCGGGAACGACUACUUCCUCUACGAACUGGUCCUCUUCGAAACGCACA